AUUGAACGCUGGCGGCAUGCCUUACACAUGCAAGUCGAACGGCAGCGGGCCCUUCGGGGUGCCGGCGAGUGGCGAACGGGUGAGUAAGGCAUCGGAACGUACCCGGGAGAGGGGGAUAACCGGCCGAAAGGCUGGCUAAUACCGCAUGAACUCGGAAGAGCAAAGCGGGGGACCUUCGGGCCUCGCGCUCUUGGAGCGGCCGAUGUCCGAUUAGGCUAGUUGGUGGGGUAAAGGCUCACCAAGGCGACGAUCGGUAGCGGGUCGGGGAGGAGGAUCCGCCACACUGGGACUGAGACACGGCCCAGACUCCUACGGGAGGCAGCAGUGGGGAAUCUUGGACAAUGGGCGCAAGCCUGAUCCAGCAAUGCCGCGUGGGUGAAGAAGGCCUUCGGGUUGUAAAGCCCUUUCGGCGGGGAAGAAAUCGGUCAGGCGAAUAGUCUGGCCGGAUGACGGUACCCGCAGAAGAAGCACCGGCUAACUACGUG
rnacentral:rRNA from 1 species